rnacentral:pre_miRNA from 1 species
AACAAAUUGUUGUUGCGUGGUUCUGUUGAAUUUUUUAUGCAAAUUCAUCAUUGGGUGAAUAUUCUCUAGACGCUAUUGGAACACGUAUUUGGAAGAACACUAGAACCAUCUCCAAAAUCUGGC